UUCAUGACAAACUAUUACAUUUACAAUCGCCAUUGUACUACAUUGUUUUUUCUGUUAUAUGUAUUUAUUUAUAUAAUUAUUGACCAGUUUUUAAAUUUUUUCGUCAAGAUAAUUUCAUAGACGGACCCACGGCCCCUUUUGUGGGAAAAAAUUGGUUGAUUAUAUAGGGAAUCACUGAAGCAUGACUGGAGCAGGCCCCCCUUAGGUCAGUCAGUGGACCCCUCUCUUAUGAAAAGUUCUGGAUCCGCCACUGAAUUUAGAAUAUAUUAAGAUCACUUUGAGUGAUUAAAAAUCAUAAUUUGUUAAAGAUUAUAACUGAAAAAUAUUUUGUGGGAAAAAUUUGGUUGAUUAUAUAGGGAAUCACUGAAGCAUGACCGAAGCGGGCCCCCCUUAUGAAAGUUCUGGAUCCGCC
rnacentral:lncRNA from 1 species